UAUGGUCAAGUGAAUAAGCGCACAUGGUGGAUGCCUUGGCGAUAAGAGGCGAAGAAGGACGUAGAAAUCUGCGAUAAGCGUUGGCGAGUUGAUAAACGAGCUGUGACCCAACGAUCUCCGAAUGGGGCAACCCACUUACCUAUGGUAAGUAUCCUUAAGUGAAUACAUAGCUUAAGGAGGCGAACCCGGCGAACUGAAACAUCUAAGUAGCCGGAGGAAAAGAAAUCAACCGAGAUUUCCCUAGUAGCGGCGAGCGAACGGGAAACAGCCUGCAAGUGAUAAUUAACGUAUUAGUGGAAGAGUCUGGAAAGGCUCGCGAUACAGGGUGAUAGCCCCGUACACGAAAAUGCGUUAAUGGUACUAGGCUUGCGACAAGUAGGGCGGGGCACGAGAAACCUUGUCUGAACAUGGGGGGACCAUCCUCCAAGGCUAAAUACUCCUUAUCGACCGAUAGUGAACCAGUACCGUGAGGGAAAGGCGAAAAGAACCCCGUUGAGGGGAGUGAAAUAGAACCUGAAACCGUGUGCGUACAAGCAGUAGGAGCAGACUUGUUCUGUGACUGCGUACCUUUUGUAUAAUGGGUCAGCGACUUAAUUUAUGUAGCGAGCUUAACCGAAUAGGGGAGGCGCAGGGAAACCGAGUCUUAAUAGGGCGACUAGUUGCAUGGAUUAGACCCGAAACCUGGCGAUCUAUCCAUGGUCAGGAUGAAGGUUGGGUAACACUAACUGGAGGUCCGAACUCACGUAUGUUGAAAAAUGCGGAGAUGAACUGUGGAUCGGAGUGAAAGGCUAAUCAAGCCAGGAGAUAGCUGGUUCUCCUCGAAAGCUAUUUAGGUAGCGCCUCGUAUCUCACUCUCGGGGGUAGAGCACUGUUUG
rnacentral:rRNA from 1 species